rnacentral:rRNA from 1 species
UACGGGGGGGGUAAGCGUUGUUCGGAAUUACUGGGCGUAAAGGGCGCGUAGGCGGCUUUGCAAGUGACGGGUGAAAUCCCUCGGCUUAACCGAGGAACUGCCUGUCAAACUGCAUGGCUUGAGACCGGGAGAGGUGAGUGGAAUUCCCAGUGUAGCGGUGAAAUGCGUAGAUAUUGGGAGGAACACCAGUGGCGAAGGCGGCUCACUGGACCGGUACUGACGCUGAUGCGCGAAAGCGUGGGGAGCAAACAGG